UUGCGCAUCGCCUGUUUAUGUGGCCGUUCGGGCCGGCAGUUUCGUGGACCUCGCGCAUCAACUGCUUGUGAGGCCGUAUGGGCCGGCAGUUUCGUGGACCUCGCGCAUCAACUGCUUAUGAGGCCGUUCGGGCCGGCAGUUUCGUGGACCUCGCGCAUCAACUGCUUAUGAGGCCGUUCGGGCCGGCAGUUUCGUGGACCUCGCGCAUCAACUGCUUGUGAGGCUGUUCGGGCCGGCAGUUUUGUGGACCUCGCGCAUCAACUGCUUAUGAGGCCGUUCGGGCCGGCAGUUUCGUGGACCUCGCGCAUCAACUGCUUAUGAGGCCGUUCGGGCCGGCAGUUUCGUGGACCUCGCGCAUCAACUGCUUAUGAGGCCGUUUGGGCCAGGCAGUUUUCGUGGAAUUGCGCAUCGCCUGUUAUGUGGCCGUUUGGGCCAGGCAGUUUUCGUGGAAUGCGCAUCGCCUGUUAUGUGGCCGUUUGGGCCAGGCAGUUUUCGUGGAAUUGCGCAUCGCCUGUUAUGUGGCCGUUUGGGCCAGGCAGUUUUCGUGGAAUGCGCAUCGC
rnacentral:lncRNA from 1 species